rnacentral:rRNA from 1 species
UAACGGGGCGGUCCUCUAUGAGGCCCGUCAUUGUAUUGAGUAAAACUCAAAAUAUCUAACGAAACCAAUUGGAGGGCAAGUCUGGUGCCAGCAGCCGCGGUAAUUCCAGCUCCAAAAGCAUAUAUUAAAGUUGUUGCGGUUAAAAAGCUCGUAGUUGGAUCCAUGACCUCGGAGGGCGGUCCCCCACUGGGUGCGUACUGCUGCUCCGAGUCCUAUCUGUCAGUUUGUCUGUGUUGCCUUUAAUCGGGUGGCACAGGUGACUGACGUGUUUACUUUGAAAAAAUUAGAGUGUUUAAAGCAGGCGUUGAAUGCCUGAAUAGUGGUGCAUGGAAUAAUGGAAUAGGAUCUCGGUUCUAUUUUGUUGGUUCAAGAGCAUGAGAAAAUGAUUAAGAGAGACAGACGGGGGCAUUUGUAUUGCUGCGUUAGAGGUGAAAUUCUUGGAUCGCAGCAAGACAAACUACUGCGAAGGCAUUUGCCAAGAAUGUUUUCAUUAAUCAAGAACGAAAGUUAGAGGUUCGAAGGCGAUCAGAUACCGCCCUAGUUCUAACCGUAAACCAUGUCGACUAGCUAUCUGUCAGCGUUAAUAAUGACCUGACAGGCAGCUUACCGGAAACGAAAGUUUCUCGAUCCCGGGGGUAGUAUGGUUGCAAAGCUGAAACUUAGAGGAAUUGACGGAAGGGCACCACCAGGAGUGGAGCCUGCGGCUUAAUUUGACCCAACACGGGAAAACUCACCCGGCCCGGACACCGUAAGGAUUGACAGAUUAAUAGCUCUUUCUCGAUUUGGUGAUUGGUGGUGCAUGGCCGUUCUUAGUUGGUGGAGCGAUUUGUCUGGUUAAUUCCGAUAACGAACGAGAUUCUAACUUACUAACUAGUUCCACGAUCCUUGUGGUCCUAAAUACUUCUUAGAGGGAAAACCGGCAUUUAGUCGAACGAGAUUGAGCAAUAACAGGUCUGUGAUGCCCUUAGAUGUCCGGGGCUGCACGCGUGCUACACUGAAGGAAUCAGCGUGUUUUUCCCUUGCCUGUAAUGGCUGGGUAACCGACUGAAUCUCCUUCGUGCUAGGGAUAGAUCAUUGAAACUAGUGAUCUUCAACUUGGAAUUCCUGGUACGUUUGAGUCAUAAGCUCAAGCAGAUUACGUCCCUGCCCUUUGUACACACCGCCCGUCGCUACUACCGACUGGCAAUAUCUUUGAGACACUUGGAGCGGCCGUGAGCUACCCUAACCGGUAACUCACGGCUGCGAAAAGGUU